GACGAACCGUGCAAACGUUGUUCGGAAUCACUGGGCUUAAAGGGCGCGUAGGCGGACAACCAAGUCCGGGGUGAACGCUCCCGGCUUAACCGGGAAAGUGCCUUGGAUACUGGUUGUCUUGAGGGAGAUAGGGGCGAGUGGAACUUCCGGUGGAGCGGUGAAAUGCGUUGAUAUCGGAAGGAACGCCGGUGGCGAAAGCGACUCGCUGGACCUUUUCUGACGCUGAGGCGCGAAAGCCAGGGGAGCGAACGGG
rnacentral:rRNA from 1 species